CUGAGGAAAAUGAUUUAAAAAAAAAAAAAAAAAAAACUCUGUUCUCAAACUAAUUACAUCUGACCACAGUUUGGGUUUUUAUUAUUAACUGGUGCCCUGAAGCAGCGGGAGGUAAAUUUGGGGUCGGCCACGAAGGAUUUAGAUUCCCAGCUCUGAUUCACAGUGAAGGGGAUCAGAGGAUAACAUCUCUCUGUGUUACUCUUAAAAUCCACCUCUUAGAGCCAAUUUUAAACACAUUGAUCUGAGGGAUGAAUUCAUGGGACUAAUUGCAGGCCAACACAAGGAUCACCAUUCAUCUUUAAGCAUAAGGAAGGAGUGACGAGACCUGAAAAGUUGAAUCAAAGACUUGUUUCUCCACUUAUUUCUAACCUAGGGCAAGCUCAUCAGAAAAUAUUUAUAACCCAAUAUGAUGUAAAAUAGCACCAGUGUUUAGGAUUUUCAAACAGUGCUAUUUGGUUAUAAAAAAAAUAAUCACAGUUUUCUAGUUUCCAUAUUGUUUUCCAAUCCUUGUUCAGUUCUUUGUAAAACAGAACGGAUUUUUUCCCCAGUAGUUAUAAUCUCUUGGUUUCUAGAUGCCCAGAUGAGCAAAGAGAAUAAUUACCAGUGAUGAGCGUGUGUUAGUUAACUUGACUAAACAGCAUCUACGCAUGGCAACCGGAUGUAUACGGCUUUUCAAAGAACAGUCUUUGAGUCUCCUCUAUUCCCUUCAUGGACAUGAGUGAUCAUGAAGCCAGAAGGAUAGCCACAUAGUUGAGGUCUCAAAAAUCCCAAGUACGUAACAUGCUAAUCUUCAGUGAUAGACAUUUUUCCAGCAUUACCAGUGACUUUGGGGGGCCUAUUUAGGUAGUAAAAUAGUGAUAUUAACACUCUCCUUUGAGUAAUUUGUAAACCGAUUAUGAACCCCCUAAAGUUCCCAGGGCUGUCAACACAACCCAAAAUGACCUUCUUUGUGAGCUGGCUUGACCGUUUUUGUUCCUUUAGGGUUUUUUCCUUCUAAGUGCUUUAAGUCAGAUUCAGUAUCUCAGUUAUCUAGAGGAAUAAUUAUCAGAGGCAAUGGGGACUUUAAGGAAACCAAGAUUCAAUGUUACAACUCAUCGGUGUUGGGGAUGGGAAGUCUGAGAAAUAAGCUGGCUGUCCAGACACUCUCCUUCUUUGCCUGCUGCCCCUGGUUCUUCUUCUUCUUCUUUUUUUUUUUUUUUUUUUUUUUAAGACCACACCUGCGGCAUAUGGAGGUUCCAAGGCUAGGGGUUGAAUCUGCAGCUGCCGGCCUACACCAUAGCCAUAGUAACAUGGGAUCCAAGCCACAUCUGCAACCUACACCACAGUUUGUAUCGGUGCCAGAUCCUUAACCCACUGAGCAAAGCCAGGGAUCGAACGCGAGUCCUCAGGUCAGGUUCUUAACCCAACUGAGUCACAACGGGAACUCCACGCCACUGGUUGUUAAAUAAAGCUCUUCUCCAUGUGAAAUGUAACCCAGAGCAGUGACUGCCCCCCUGAGGGAGAGUGAGGAUCACAGCCUGGGGCAAGCCUUUGGACAUCCUGGUGGUCACACACAGCCGGAGUUAAGCAUCGCUGUCAGAACAGAGGCAAUGGAAACCCAGGCUCUCUUGGCAGGCACCAAGAGGCAAAAGUGUGUGAUGUGGUAGGUGACACUUUGUCCCAGCUCUGUUUAGGUUCUGCGGGACCAAGAGGAUGACAGCGGGGUAACCAGAGGUCUCUCCAUGGAACCCCUCAGCCUUUGUCAUUACCACUUUGAGUUCAUCCCACCUGCAGGUAGGGCUCUGAUAGACCAAUGAGGUGGCAGGGGUGGGGGGUGGUCUGUUCUCACCAGGAGCAGCAGGGCUGCAGUUGGUGGUCCAGCCCCACCCUCCUCUUCCUCAUCCAGUCCUGGCCUUAAGAAAGCAGGGGGUGGAGUUCCCGUUGUGGUGCAGUGGUUAGUGAAUCCAACCAGGAACCAUGAGGUUGCAGGUUUGGCCCCUGCCCUUUCUUGGCUCAGUGGGUUAAGGAUCCAGCAUUGCCAUGAGCUGUGGUUUAGGUCGCAGACGCGGCUUGGAUCCUGCGUUGCUGUGGCUCUGGCUUAGACUGGCGGCUACAGCUCCGAUUAGACCCCUAGCCUGGGAACCUCCAUGUGCCACGGGAGCAGCCCCAGAAAAAGCCAAAAAGACAAAAAAAAAAGAAAAAAGAAAAGAAAGAAAGCAGGGGGUAUGCAGCUGGGAAGAAGGAGAGGGAACACUGGGUCCAAGCUUCCAGUGUUUUCAUCCUCCAUGGGCAUACAGCCUCCCUCUUAAACACCAGGCUCUAGACAUCCCACUGGAGCCAGGUGCACAGCCCCAUCUCCUGUGCCCUCCUGCUUUUCCUUUUAAGCACCAGGAGGCCAAGUUCUCUUCAUAUGAAUCUUGUGCCCCUGAUGGUAAUUGUUGUUGAUUUGGGGCCAAGGGACAGAGGACAGCUGCUCUGGGAGCUUUGUCCCUGAGAAAGGAGAUCUCUCCUAAGGGACUUGCGUUAUAUCAUGAGCUUCAGGAAAGAGGAAACCUCUCCUGAGGAAAUGAUGGAUUUUUUUUUCUCUAGUGGGUUAAAUAAUGCCUUCAACAAUGAUAGUUGAAGUGCAGGCUAACCCUUAGGGUACCAGGAGAGAGAAAGUCAACAUAAGAACUUAGUGAUUUUGUGAGGUCCAACGGAAGCUGUAACUUCUAGUCCCGGACAUCAGGGCAAAGACGGCAAAUCUGACUGCUGACCUGAGUGUCUGAGUGUUUCAAGGCCCCAAGUGUUAGGUUGAAGUUUGGGGCUUUUACCAAAUAUUUGUAUUAUUUACUCACAGAGGCUUCCUUGGGUACCUAAAGCACUAAAUCCCAGUGCUCUGAGCUUAACCAAAAUAAUCAUGAAAUACUCCUUCAAAAGGGUCUCUUCUUUUCAUACACUCUGGACACGCCUUUGCUGGCCUUCCUCUGAGACAAAAGAGCAACAGCUGAAGGUUCUGAAAGAUCCAGCCUGAUUUAAGCCCCAGUCGAUACCAACACCCUUAUCAGGGUGAACUCUGGGCAUUUAGGUAAAAAAAAUAUCUAGGGUGUAUCUAGGAGGCGAGAUACACUAACUGGACACUUGAAUUUCAUUCACUGAUUCUCAGGCAGGAUCUUCAGGACCAGACAGGCCCAUUACAGCAUAGCUGCUGCUGCUCAGGGUCUGUGGCAUCGAGUUUCAAGUCCUUCCCAGAGUCCACUGGUGGCCUAGCAGUUUAGGAUCGAAGGAAGGUAAGGUCCCUCCCACUUAGUUUGCCUCAGUUGGAGCAGGAGUUUAAAUUCCAGUGUUUUCCUUUGGCUAUGUCAUCGUGGAUGUUUCUUCUUGGAGCUGGCAGCUCUAAUUCAUUCCUCCAAUAGCAAAGGCCUCUGUGUUACAUCAAACACCACCUCCAAUUCUGCACCUCACUCUUGGAAAAGCUGCCAGCAACUCAGAAACCUGCUCAUCCGCCGUAAGACAUUUCCAGUGAUCCAAUUGAAACAUCCAUAAAACCAAAUUAAAUGGCCUUCAUCUUCUCUUACAGGAAUUGGUCUUAGGGUUGUUUCAAAACUGAAGAGGACAUGAAGUUGGACAAUUCUCUACAGUAAUUUAUGCCGUAAAAUGUAUAUAUUGUAGCCUUGACUGUAAAUACUAUAUUUAUUAAGGUUUGAUACCCUUUUCGUUUUUGUCUAGUUAUUCACUCUUAAAAGAGCUGAAGUUCAUGUUUGUUCAUGUUUGUCUAGUUAUUCACUCUUAAAAGAGCUGAAGUUCACUUGGGGCUUCUUGUUAGGGCAUUUGGAUGUGGUUAGAAAGUCCAGGAUCUGUGUUAAUAGUCACUAUUUUAAUCCUAAUGGUCAUAUAACAACCUAUUAAGCAUCACCAUUCUAAGCCCUACCCCUGAUGAAAACAUGUGCUCUUCUCUGUCUUUAAGAAUGUGAUGGGAGUUCCCCUCGUGGCUCAGCAGAUAACGAACCUGACUAACAUCCAUGAGGACAGGGGUUCGAUCCCUAGCCUUGCUCAGUGGAUUAAGGAUCCAGUGUUGCCGUGAGCUAUGGUGUAGGUCACAGAUGCAGCUUGGAUCCUGUGUUGCUGUGGCUGUGGUGUAGGCCGGCAGCUGCAUCUCUGAUUCAACUCCUAGCCUGGGAACCUCCAUAUGCUGCGGGUAUGGCCCUAAAAAAAAAAAAAAAA
rnacentral:lncRNA from 1 species